UACUUUCAAUGUUAAUUUAUUUCUAGCAAUUCACAAUUUCACUCUAUUCACACUAUUCCCAUUUUCCAAUUCUCAAAAUUUUCGGGUUUCUGAAUUUAAAAUAAAACUAAAAAUGCAAUUGAAUUUUCUGGGAAUUUUGCUUCUUGGGAAAAUUUGACAAAGAUGUCAUCUUUUUGAUGGGGUUUAUUUUUCUGUCUUUCCAUUUUCUGCAAAAAAAAAAAGAAGACGAGUCAGCUUAAUUUGUUUGGCUGUUUUCAGUGGGUGUUGCACUGUGCCAGAAUAACCCAGAUGAAGCUACCUCCUUCUGCUAAUCUCUUCUUCAAUGAAUUGAGCCAAAAACAUACAAUUCAGCAGGAACAAAUGAUACCCUGUACACGUUGAUCUCUGCUUCAAACGUCUGCCCAAGAACCUCAAUGCAUCUGGUGUUAUGUUUUAUUUCGACCCUUUUGUUUCAAGGUUUGAGAUAAACCCAACUCCUAUGAACAUUCCUGGCAUUAUAAUUCCAUCGACAAGUGAUUCAGAUAUUACUCCAAAGGCGGUGUGCUAUUCUGCUAGAGGUCCAGAUCCAGAAGAUAACUCUCUUGAAGGUGCAGACAUACUGAAACCAAAUCCGGUUGCUCCUGGAAAUUCAAUACGGGGUGCUCACUUGCAAGUUGGCAGCGUUUCUAGUGAAUUUAUAGGGCAAUAGGAAGGAAUUUGCUAUGAUGUCUGGGACAAGCAUGGCUGCUGCUCAUGUUGCAGGAGUUGUAGCUCUAGUCAAGAAUAAAUUCCCUUGGUUCACUCCAGCAGCCAUUGCCUCUGCUAUUUCAAGACAGCAUCACUUCGUCACAAGAAUGGUCAACCCAUUAUGGCCUAACGUGCUUAUUCCAAUCCAGAUGUGAACCAAUCUCCUGCAACUGCAUUUGACAUGGGCAGUGGAUUUGUUAAUGCAACUUCUGUUCUAGACUUCUAGAUCCAGAACUCAUCUCAAAUUAAAGGUACAUACAUAUUGUUGUAUAUCUCUGGUGGCUUGGACUUUUUAGUGUAUCAGUUAAGCUGUCCCUGAAUCAAAGCUUGAGAUCAUUCACACAUCAUUUUUCUCUGGUCUUCCCUUCUUUAGCAUAUCCAAUCAUGCCAGAAUCUUUGUCAUGAACAAGAUAUCAUCGGCUGUUUCUUUACACAUGGAAGGUGCUAUUUGUAAUAACCUAUGGUGCAUGAGCUUGUUGUGUAGUAUUGUGGUCAAUUGUGCUCCCAUGUUUUGAUAACAUCAUGCUUGCAUGAAUCGCAUGACCAUGUAAGUGUACUUUAUUAUACCGUGCUUCUUUGAUUUGGAGCAUUUGCAUUUGGAUACCUGGUUUUCUUCUAAAUUAGUACUCCAGUAUAUAAUGCUUAUGUGACCAAUUUGUCCUCGGCAGGCUCAAGUCACCCCUCUUGCUAGAUCAAAAUUUGUUAGUUACCCGGCAUAUAGAUUGGGAAAACCUUGUGUUUUGGCUUUGAACAGGUUUCAUCUGCCAACAGAGUAAUGUCCUUUUGAUUUCUUGUUCCGAAAAAAGGAAGCAAAUUACCAGCAGUCGUAAAAUCACAACAAACACAAGGUGAGUGAUAGAGAUAAAAGGAAAUCUAGUUUAUUGCCAUUCAUUACAUAAAAGUAUUGAAGUUAUUACAUUGCAAUCAAAGCUCACACUUGUUUGUGCUACUCUAAUUCUUAAUAUGCUAAAAAUCAAACUAAAAAAGCAUCUAUUAAAACUUAAAAGUGUUCCCAUUCAUGCAUCAACGUCAACUAACAGCUGAAUCUUUUUUUAAUCAGAAGUCUGGAUCAGUUUAGUUGGUGGAUUGGGAAAGCUUGGUGGAGCACUUGGGGUGCCGGGGACCGGGCCCGUGGGCAUGGGCUGUGAAGGGAAGGUGGGCAUUGAAGGGUAGGUCGGCAAGCUGGGGAAGGGGUAAAGUGGGAGGAAGUGUGGUGGAAGAAGCGGUUUGUGAAACGCUGGAAAAGCCAUCGAUGCUGGUGGUUUGUAGAAAGAGGUCUUUUCCAGAGCUGGUUGUUCAGCCUGUGGCGAUGGAUGAGGCAUGUUCGUUUCUAGCAUAGGACGAGCAGCCACUUGGUUCGGAGGUUUGUAGAAAGAGGUUUUUUUCAGAGCUGGUUGUUCAGUCUGAGGCGAUGGAUGAGGCAUGUUUGUUUCUAGCAUAGGACGAGCAGCCACUUGGUUCGGAGUUAAACAGGAAACCAGUAUGAGAGAAAGGAAGAUAACCGGGUUGAUGACAUGGCGAGGCAUUUUUGAAUCCAAGGAUUUAAACUCGAAGAUGAUAAUGGAGAUUUUCGAGGUAGGGAUUAGUGAGUUUUGACUUUCGAGUGUGAAGAAGGUUUUAUAGUUUAUACUGUUGUGUUUAAAGAGGGUUGGAAAUGAUGCAUUGUGUGUUAUUUCUAACCCAAACCUAAUACGUGCAUUAAGUUAGGUAUUGCAUAGGUAUUGCAUGCAUGAUCAUACAGAAAACCCCAUAUUUUCAAGUGAAAAAAAAAUGAAUAAGUCAGCAAGGUUGACUACAUAAUUAAAUUCAUUUUAUCUUUGUAAUAUUUAGUUUGAUAUUUUGAUUAUGUAUAUCUUUUGGUUGGUAGAGUUUGGUUAA